CCUACGGGAGGCAGCAGUGAGGAAUAUUGGUCAAUGGGAGGAAUCCUGAGCCAGCCAUGCCGCGUGCAGGACGACGGCUCUACGAGUUGUAAACUGCUUUUGUACCGGGGUAAAAUGCCUUACGUGUAGGUUUUUGAAAGUACGGUACGAAUAAGGAUCGGCUAACUCCGUGCCAGCAGCCGCGGUAAUACGGAGGAUCCGAGCGUUAUCCGGAUUCAUUGGGUUUAAAGGGUGCGUAGGUUGUUUUAUAAGUUAGCGGUGAAAUACCGAUGCUCAACAUCGGGGCUGACGCUAAUACUGUAGGACGAGAGAUCGGAUGCAGCAGGCGGAAUGUGUAGUGUAGCGGUGAAAUGCAUAGAGAUUACACAGAACACCGAUUGCGAAGGCAGCUUGCUAGGCCGGAUCUGACACUGAUGCACGAAAGUGUGGGGAUCGAACAGGAUUAGAUACCCUUGUAGUC
rnacentral:rRNA from 1 species